rnacentral:rRNA from 1 species
CGAGCUAAUUUCGUGCCCGCAAGCGGCGGUUAUAUCGGAGGGGUUCAAGCCUUAAUUGGAAUUAUGGGCGAAAAGCGCACGCCGGGCGGUUUCGUCCACGUAGGAGUUGAAAUCCCCGGGCCCCACCGUGGGGAACCCAUUUGGAACUGGCGGGCAGGAGUUUUUGUAGAGGGGGGGUAGAAUCCCAGGUGAGCCGGUGAAAUGCGUAGAUAUCCGGAGGAAUCCCCGGUGGCGAAGGGGGCCCCCCUGGACAAAGACAGACGUUCAGGUGCGACAGCGUGGGGGAGCAAACAGGGAUUAGAUACCCCUGGUUGUCCACGCUGUAAAACGAUGUCUAUUUGGAGGUUGUCCCCCUGAGGUGGGGCUUCCGGAACUAACGCGUUAAAUAGACCGCCUGGGGAGUACGGCCGCAAGGUUAAAACUCAAAUAAAUUGACGGGGGCCCGCACAAGCGGUGGAGCAUGUGGUUUAAUUCGAUGCAACGCGAAGAACCUUACCUACUCUUGACAUCCACGGAACUUAGCAGAGAUGCUUUGGUGCCUUCGGGAACCCUGAGACAGGUGCUGCAUGGCUGUCGUCAGCUCGUGUUGUGAAAUGUUGGGUUAAGUCCCGCAACGAGCGCAACCCUUAUCCUUUUUGCCAGCGGUCCGGCCGGGAACUCAAAGGAGACUGCCAGUGAUAAACUGGAGGAAGGUGGGGAUGACGUCAAGUCAUCAUGGCCCUUACGAGUAGGGCUACACACGUGCUACAAUGGCAUAUACAAAGAGAAGCGACCUCGCGAGAGCAAGCGGACCUCAUAAAGUAUGUCGUAGUCCGGAUUGGAGUCUGAAAAUCGACUCCAAGAAGUCGGAAUCGCUAGUAAUCGUGGAUCAGAAUGCCACGGUGAAUACGUUCCCGGGCCUUGUACACACCCCCCGUCAGGGGGCAUGGGAGUGGGUUGCCAAAAGAAGUAGGUAGCGUUACCUUCAGGAGCCCGCCCCGCCCCAUUUUUUGUAAUCAAC